AUAGCGUAUAUUAAAGUUGUUGCAGUUAAAAAGCUCGUAGUUGGAUUUCCGGCGUGAGGGAUCGGUCUGACUUUUAGUCAGUACUUGAUCCUCUCAUGCCGUCCUUGAAUGGUGCACCCUGGCAUUAAGUUGUCGGGGUGAGAGCCGUUCAUCGUUUACUGUGAGAAAAUUAGAGUGUUCAAAGCAGGCUUAUGCCGUUGAAUAUAUUAGCAUGGAAUAAUAAGAUAGGACCUAGGUACUAUUUUGUUGGUUUGAGAACCAAGGUAAUGAUCAAUAGGGACAGUUGGGGGUAUUCGUAUUCAGUUGUCAGAGGUGAAAUUCUUAGAUUUCCGGAAGACGAACUACUGCGAAAGCAUUUACCAAGGAUGUUUUCAUUAAUCAAGAACGAAAGUAUGGGGAUCGAAGAUGAUUAGA
rnacentral:rRNA from 1 species